rnacentral:misc_RNA from 1 species
UUGUGUAUGGAAGAAUUAGAAC